rnacentral:rRNA from 1 species
UACGAAGGGGGCUAGCGUUGUUCGGAAUUACUGGGCGUAAAGGGCGCGUAGGCGGCCCGAUCAGUCAGAUGUGAAAGCCCUGGGCUCAACCUAGGAAGUGCAUUCGAAACUCCCGAGCUUGAGUUCUGGAGAGGAAGGCGGAAUUCUCGGUGUAGAGGUGAAAUUCGUAGAUAUCGAGAGGAACACCGGUGGCGAAGGCGGCCUUCUGGACAGUGACUGACGCUGAGACGCGAAAGCGUGGGGAGCAAACAGG